CUUGGAUUGGAGUUCACCUGGACUGGGUUGGAGCAAUGAAAUACUGGAUCAAACAAACCAUUCUAUCGAUUCAGAUACGAUAUGAGGACCUGAGCCCUAUGACCAUGCCUCAGGACUACCGGGCCUGAUUACUCCUGGCUUUCCCCUUCCCCAGUCCACCUGGUCGUGCUGCUGAUCCAGUUUCUGCUGUUCUGCCUGCGGUUAUAGAACCCUGAUCUAUUCACCGGUCAUGCUACCUUGUCCCAGACCUGCUGUUUCGACCCUCGCUCUCCUCUCUCUCUCUCCCCCCUUCUCUCUCUACCACACCUGCUGUCUCGACCUCUGAAUGCUUGGCUAUGAAAAGCCAACUGACCAUGCUGGUCAUCUAUGAACGUUUGAACAUCUUGAAGAACGAUCUGGCCUUAAUGGCCAUGUACUCUUAUAAUCUCCACCAGGCACAGCGAGAAGAGGACAGGCCACCCCUCACAGCCUAGUUCCAUUCUAGGUUUCUUCUUAGGUUCCUGCCUUUCUAGGAAGUUUUUCCUAGCCACCACGCUUUCACAUCUGCAUAGCCUGCUCUCUGGGGUUUUAGGCUGGGCAUCUGUAUAAGCAAUUUGUGACAACUGCUGAUGUAAAAAAAGCUUUAUAAAUAAAUGUGGUUGAUUGAUUGACAUUUACUCCUGAUGUGCUGACCUGUUGCACCCUCUAUAACCACUGUGAUUAUUAUUUGACCCUGCUGGUCAUCAAUGAACGUUUGAACAUCUUGAAGAAGUGAAAGUGUUUUAAUCAGAUAGGUAAAAAGGAAGAGUGUCAUAAUAACACACUGGCAAAUUGGCACAUUGAAAACGUACAAAUGAAUAGGAUCAAUAGUCCAAAGUCUGCUCCAUUUCCAUAGAGCUAAAACAAACUGCAAGCUUGAUUUCAGUGCCAUCUCAAGCCCCAACAAAUUGUCACUGUGUCCCUAGCUAGAACACAAGGUUGGGCAGAAUGAGAGGUCAUUUCAUUACAUUAAAUUGCUGAUGAUGAUGAAAGGUCCAUGAACUGACCAGUCACUAACUGUUACAAGUUUGGUUGAACCAAAACAAAGCCACACUUGAUCAAGCACCGUUUACAACUUAAGUCACACUUGAGACACACUCAAGGAUAGAACCCCCCCCCCCCACACACACACACACACAUGUAGCAUGUAAAUCUUCUGUGUUUGCAGACAGGUAUCUGAGGUGCAGAGAGUGGAGUUCUGGAGUGAUCAUUAACCUUGCAGGCUGGCCGGCCAGCUUCAGCCUAUGUGGAGACAUGCCACACCAGACCAAACCAGCAGAGCAGACCAGCAGAGCAGACCAGCAGAGCAGACCAGCAGAGCAGACCAGCAGAGACACUGACUGACUGCAAGGCAUGAUAAGCUCCUGACUCAGCGCAAACAAACCAACUGUCUGUGUGUGGAUCCAACUCAGGUCUAACACACGUCUAUAAGAAUGCUCUGUAGGUAAUACACAGAUCUAUAAGUCUGUUCUUAAGUCUUUAUGUAUGCGAUAGGGCCAAGACGUUUUACUGAUCUGGUCAUGUGACCCUAGCUAUGUGGGCAACAAACCAGUCUGAUGGACACUUAAGAACAAUCUCCUACAUACACACAUAUACAUGCCCGAUAGUGAGGACAUCAUUCAACCAUUCGACACCAACAACACAAAAAACAGUUGCACCAUAUUUCACAUUUUUACAUUUUAAUCAUCUAGCAGAUUUGCAGGAGCAAUUAGGGUUAAAUGCCUUGCUCAAUGGCACAGACAGAUGGUUUACUUAGGCUCAGGGAUUCGAACUAGCAAUUUUUUUUGGUUACCAACGCUCUUAACCGCUAGGCUACCUGCCACCCACUACCUGGAUCACCAAAGCUGCUUGUACAGAUACAGCCUGCUGGAUGAGCAUGUCUCUUAUCAAUAACAUAACACUCUUUCCCGUUGUGCCUUAUACAAGGAAAACGAGCAUCAACCUGAUACUCUGCCAAUUAAAAGAGAGGAAAAUCAACAUCGCACACAAAGGAGGGAGACUGGAAUUCAGUGAGAAAACACUGGGGGUCCUGUAAGGCCAUGGGGUCGCCGUCUGUACUCACUACCACAGGAUAUGGGCACAGUUUACAGGCAGCUGAUGGCUCUUCAGAGAGUGAUGGGGAAAUCCUCCACUUUUCCCCCUUUACUCACCACUGUCAAUCAGUGUGGACCAUGCAUCAACAAUAAGAUACAUGGGUUUUUACUGAGAGAGCGUUAAAAUAAUAACAUCAAGUACAGUUGCUUUUAAGAUAAAAAAAUGUAUUUGGCUUUUGUAUACUGUACGGUUUUCUUUUUUCUUUUUUUUUUACCUUUAAGCUUUAAUUAGGGAAGUCAGUUAUGAACAAACUCGUAUUUACAAUGACGGUUUACCAGAAGACAAAAGGCCACCUGCGGAGCGGGGACUGGGAUUUUGUUCAAAUAAACCCAGCAAAAAAAGAAACGUCUCUUUUUCAGGACCCUGUCAGACGGUAGGCAAUUAAGGUCACAGUUAUGAAAACUUAUGACACUAAAGAGGCCUUUCUACUGACUCUGAAGGUAGCUACAGGGAGACAGGACAGACAGCUGAUCGUCCUCACAGUGGCAGAUCACGUGUAACAACACCUGAACAGGAUCGGUACAUCCGAACAUCACACCUGUGGGACAGGUACAGGAUGGAAACAACAACUGCCUGAGUUACACCAGGAACACACAAUCCCUCCAUCAGUGCUCAGACUGUCCGCAAUAGGCUGAGAGAGGCUGGACUGAGGGCUUGUAGGCCUUUUGUAAGGCAGGUCCUCACCAGACAUCACCGGCAACAACGUCGCCUAUGGGCACAAACCCACCGUCGCUGAACCAGACAGGACUGGCAAGGUGCUCUUCACUGACGAGUCGCGGUCUUGUCUCACCAGGGGUGAUGGUCGGAUUCACGUUUAUCGUCAAAGGAAUGGGUGUUACACUAAUGCCUAUACUCUGGAGCGGGAUCAAUUUGGAGGUGGAGGGUCCGUCAUGGUCUGGGGUGGUGUGUCACAGCAUCAUUGUGCUGAGCUUUGUUGUCAUUGCAGACAAUCUUAACGCUGUGCGUUACAGGGAAGACAUCCUCCUCCCUCAUGUGGUACCCUUCCUGCAGGCUCAUCCUGACAUGACCCUCCAUCAUGACAAUGCCACCAGCCAUACUGCUCGUUCUGUGCUUGAUUUCCUGCAAGACAGAAAUGUCAGUGUUCUGCCAUGGCCAGCGAAGAGCCUGGAUCUUAAUCCCAUUGAGCACGUCUGGGACUUGUUGGAUUGGAGGGUGAGGGCUAGGGCCAUUCCCCCCAGAAAUGUCGGGGAACUUGCAGGUGCCUUGGUGGAAGAGUGGAGGAACAUCUCACAGCAAGAACUGGCAAAUCUGGUACAGUCCAUGAGGAGGAUAUGCACUGCAGUACUUAAUGCAGCUAGUGGCCACACCAGAUACUGACUGUUACUUUUGAUGUUGACCCCCCCUUUGUUCAGGGACACAUUAUUCAAUUUCUGUUAGCCACAUGUCUGUGGAACUUGUUCAGUUUAUGUCUCAGUUGUUGAAUCUUGCUAUGUUCAUACAAAUAUUUACACAUGUUAAGUUUGCUGAAAAUAAACGCAGUUGACAGUGA